UACGGAGGGGGUUAGCGUUGUUCGGAAUUACUGGGCGUAAAGGGCGCGUAGGCGGCGCUGUAAGUCACUUGUGAAAUCUCUGAGCUUAACUCAGAACGGCCAAGUGAUACUGCAGUGCUAGAGUGCAGAAGGGGCAAUCGGAAUUCUUGGUGUAGCGGUGAAAUGCGUAGAUAUCAAGAGGAACACCUGAGGUGAAGACGGGUUGCUGGGCUGACACUGACGCUGAGGCGCGAAAGCCAGGGGAGCAAACGGG
rnacentral:rRNA from 1 species